CGGCCGCUCUUCGGCCCUCAGCGGGAGACCCUCAGCGCAACAUGGCGGCGGGCCGCGCCCCACCGGCACCUGCCCCCCACGGCGGGGUUGGCGGUUGCCAAGCUGGCAAGGGGGAGAGGGAAGGAAGACGCUUUGGUGUUAGAGCGUGGGCGACUCGUGUGCUCGAUCGCCAGUCUCUAAAAGCUGCUAUUUUGUUGUUGUUGUUGUUUUCCCGAAGCCCAAAAUCAAUUACUUCAAACAAAAGGCAGGAUGGAUUUUUGUAUUAAAGCGCAUUUUCAGCAUGAAAUAAAAGUUUGAGAAUCCACCGAAGCUUAGAAACUACAAAGUGAGAAGGCUGCUUCAGCUGGCCGUGCUCUUGGGUCAAGAUUGCGCGACCAACCGACCCGAUCCGUAGGCACACAACACACGGACACAACGCACUGCGCCUGUGCCCCCCGCUCCUCAUCCACCGCCAUGCUCCUGCAGAGCCCCCAGCUGCUUUACCUGCAGGAGCCGUGGCCUCCCGCCUGCUGGGGUGUGAGAACAGAUCGUAUUUACGUUGUCACGGGCAACGGACUAUAGGACACAGGUCUUCCGGUGUGCCGGCAAUGGCAUGCAGGUGAGCUGUGAGAUUAAGGAAACGUGCAGAUACAAGCUGCUGUCUUCGAUAUCCUCGUUUCAAGAAAAGGAACUGGAAGCUUCAAAACGAGGUAGCAGCCAGCACGUGUCAAAGAUACAGGGUUGUGGAGACCCUGGGGAAUGCCAAGGGAUGGUAACAAAAACACAGUCCUGUGUUUUCCUCCAAGUCCUGCAUCAGAGAUGGUGCUAGGCACUCACUCAUAGUGCCACAUUCAAGUAAAAAAAUCACCUUUGCUUCACAUUUGAGAGAACGGAGGGGAACGGAGACUGAUAGAACCCACUGCUAUAUUUCCUUCUUCUUGUGUGAUCCUAGGAAGCAAGUGAGGGCUUUACUGUCAAAACUGAGCCAUAUGUGAAGCAGCUUGCAACAGCAGGAAGGAAGGAAGGUGUGACUCACCCUGAAUUUGUCUGAAAAACUCUUUCACCUGUCGAUAGUCAGCAAUCAAGGAGGUUUCUCAGCUUCUGUGCUGGCUAGAGGUGCUCUGUGCUGGGAACAGACUGCUGUGAGACACCUGAGGACCUUCACUGCCACAGAUGGAUGGGGCAGCACGUGCAAGAGAGAAAGGGCCUGCUACAGCAGCCAGUAAAUAUUGUAUUAACAGCGUAACAAGAUUUACUAUUCUUCAUGACUUUUUUCACUAAUUAUUAAUAGUCAAUUAGUAUGACACUGAGCAGAAUGUACCCCAAAGUAAAGGAAGUAACUUAUGGCCUGCUUUACAACAGUGCCAUAUAAAUACUUUGUUGCAUGAAGUACUGCAUUUCUAUGGAAGUACUGGCACACUCAGGUGAGCAAACACAACACUACAGAGGAAACCAAGCACUUUUAGUUCAGCCUAAGCACUCUGUGUUACCAGCCUGCAGCCACGUGAAAGUAAAGCAACAUUGUUAAUGAAAAAAAUGAGGAACUGAAAAUGAUUCCAACAUGCUUUUUUAAACUCAACGUUUCUCUUAUUGCUAUAUGACUUCUGCUUCAUGCAGCUUGAAUACAGCAUUAGAGAGACCCUGGCCUUGCUCCAAAAUGCUCAUAAGUUUCAGUCACUGAGGAGCAGGCCCAGGACAGGCACCUGAUAGC